CUUCUCGUGGUGUUGGCAACACGCCUGUCUAGUGAAUAGGAGUCGUGAGUUCGAGUCUCACCGAGAGGA
rnacentral:tRNA from 1 species